AAUAUCUCUCUGACUUCCUUCCAGGGAACACUCGGCAUCGUUUCUGGAGCAUUUUCAGGGGUGGCUGCUAAUGAAAACAGUGAGAUCUCUGCUCUUAAGGUUGUCUUCAUGAAAAUGUCCACUGGAUGACUACGUUAAAGAAAUGAAGAAUGAACAGACAGAAAAGAUGAGAAAAGAUCUAAAUAAAUACUACCCAGAGACCUCUUACUUUCUUUGAAGACUGCAGUGAUCUUUUUAACAGUGCUGUGUAAAAAUGACAUAUGUGAAAUACAAUGAAAUUUGUCGAGAGUUCCAAUGCUGAAGAUUAAGUAAAUAUGAUUUUACUCUCUGUACUAAAUCUGCUGAUGAAGAAGCUAAAUUCUGAUCAGCAGCAGUUACAGUAACCAGCUCGCCUGCUUCUCUCAUGCUGGGGAUAAUUCUGCCUUGGAGAUGCCAUUUGCUGAUAUCUCUUUGCCAUGACAGAUGUUUAAGCUGAUACUUCCUCAGAUGACAAGACUGAAAAUAGACUUAACUCCAUUUGAUGGAAACCCCCCAGCAUCAAUGGAACCAGUGCAGACCUCGGGCCCUUUAUCUUGCCUCUCAGACACUACUUUGGCAGCCCCAUAUAUGAUAAUGCAAGAAUAAUUGCUUAUUACAUCUCUGCUGUAGCAUACAAGCAUUGUGUAAUUCAGCAUUAAUGUCUGACAACCCAGC